AUGUGGGUUUGGAAAGCAAAGAUUCCCCUGAAGAUUAAAAUCUUCAUCUGGCAAUUGUUUCAAAAUGAUGUCCUUACUAGAGAAAAUAUGCGUAAAAGAAACUGGCCUGGUAAUCCUUCUUGUUUGUUUUGUCAUGACAUUAAAACUGCUGGACACCUAUUUUUUGGUUGUGCUUUUGCUCGUUUGGUGUGGGGAACUUUUGGCUUGGCCUUGGGGGCAUCAAGUUGCCCCAAAUCUCUUUGGCAAAGUUGGGUGUGGCUGUAUAAAUUCCUCCCUAGUGGGAGGAAGUAUUACAUGGAAUUCAUACCUGCUGUUUGUUGGGGGAUCUGGUGUACUCGCAACAAGAUCACGUUUGAGAAACGCGUUGUUCGUACACCCCUAGAGACUGUUUUCACUGUGUGCUCUUUCAUGAUGUAUUGGUCAGGUCUGAUGAAAGGAGAUGACAAGGCGAAAUUCCAGGCUAGGGUGCAGAAGAUGGUUCGAGUGGCGACAUCUCUUGCUGAUCGAUCUACUUCACGUGGCAGACUCGCGCUAGAGCAAGGGAGCUGA
rnacentral:rRNA from 1 species